UUGCCUCAGUAGCGGCGAGUGAAGCGGCAAAAGCUCAAAUUUGAAAUCUGGUACUUUCAGUAUCCGAAUUGUAAUUUGUAGAAGUAACUUUGAACAUGAGUCUUGCAUAAGUUCCUUGGAACAGGACGUCAUAGAGGGUGAGAAUCCCGUUUAUGGUAAGACCCCCAGUUUUUGUAAAGUGCUUUCAAAGAGUCGAGUUGUUUGGGAAUGCAGCUCUAAGUGGGUGGUAAAUUCCAUCUAAAGCUAAAUAUUUGCGAGAGACCGAUAGCGAACAAGUACAGUGAUGGAAAGAUGAAAAGAACUUUGAAAAGAGAGUGAAAAAGUACGUGAAAUUGUUGAAAGGGAAGGGCUUUAAAUCAGACAUGGUAUUCAGUGAUCAGCUUCCUUUCGGGGUUGUGCACUUGCUGUUUACCGGGCCAACAUCAGUUUAGAGGGUAGGAUAAUGGUGAAAGAAUGUGGCUUGAUUCGUCAAGUGUUAUAGCUUUUAUUGAUACUACCAUUUUGGACUGAGGACCGCGCAUUUUUGCUAGGAUGUUGGCGUAAUGGUUUUAAGCCA
rnacentral:rRNA from 3 species